GGGGGUAUAGCUCAGUGGUAGAGCGCCCGCUUUGCAUGCGGGAAGUCAGGUUCAGGAAGUCAGGUUCAGAGGUCUGCUUCGCACAUGAGCUUCGCACGAUGGGUGUCUAUUGGUUCAAACCCCCUUACCUCCA